CACCGUGGGCGGCAGACGUGGUUUAGCUCCAGCUAGGAUGCUCCUAAACCUGAAUCCUAGGAGUGGAGCACCAGGACUGCACCCUUCCAUUCUGUUCGCCCACCUCCUGCCCUCAGUGAAAAAAUAGAAAAGUGAAGCUGCGUGUGGCACAUCUGAAUCCCGACUUUGGUCUAUUAUAGUCCCUCUUCUGUUCUCAGGUAGAGUCGUGGUGAUUGAUGGGCUUCAGUACUCAAGUCUGGCUAUUUCAGAAACAUUUCUGGUUGUCCGUGUAAAUCUGUGGAAAGAGGCAACAAACAGAUUUGCGUCAGCCCCUGACCUGCUGGAUACCAGGCAUGUCCUAACUGCUGAACAGCAAGACGCCAGUUCUGACCUUCCACUAGCUCCUGAACUGGCUGGUCACAGAUGGAAUGAUCCUUGAGCCUGGAUGAGUUCCAGAUGGAAGAGCCACAGCUGAUCUAUCACUGUUAUAUAAGAUGAACAAGAAAGGAAGCUCUGAUGAUGUAAGCUAUUGAGAUUUGGGAGUUGGAAUUUCUUUUCUCACACAAUAUAAUUCAGACUAAGUUGACUGAUAGAAUCAGCAUCCUCCUCAGAAGCUGGAGAAUUGUUUUAAUAAGAAUAAAAGGAAAGUCAGAAGAACUUAAGUCAUGAAGAAUGAAUUGUUGAGGAGGGAGGGGGAAACUGUGGUCAAACUAUAAAAUUAAUAAAUCAGUGAAUGAAUGAAUGAAAUGAAAUGAAAUGUUGUUUUGAGAUUCUUAGCUUAUCAUCUUCAUACAUCCUUAGUAAGAUAUUGAACACCAAGCAAGCUGUUUUCGGUAAUACUGAAUGCCCAUGGUUAAAGGCACCUGGUAAUCUUUCUUCUUUCCAGGAUGAAUAUAGGUCUGGAAUUUUAAUAUCUAAACCUCUCCCUUUCCUUUUCUCUUAUAUCUCAUCAUUAAGCUAGCAUUAUGGACUUCUCUGCUAGGAGACCAUAUUGUUUGAAGAGUACUGGAAAAACAGACCAUCUGAAUUUGUAGUGGAACUCACAGCAAUGAUUGGGCAUGAAAUUCCAAACAGCGUUUUGGCCAAGUGCAGAGAAGUAACUGAGGUGAACUAGCUAGUCUGAUAGACUUGAAACUACACUUAUAUUAAAGGGAAAGACCACUGAAUGCAGUGCACGAGAGCGCUUCAGACCACAAAUCAUCAAGUCUUUGGUUUUGACUCCAGUUGCACC